AAUGAACGCUGGCGGUAUGCCUAACACAUGCAAGUCGAACGGCAUCACAGUAAGAGCUUGCUCUUACUGGUGGCGAGUUGAGUACGUGUCAGGCAUACAUCGGACUCUACUUUUUCGUGUGUGAUAACGUAGGGAAACUUACGCUAAUACCUCAUACGACCUACGGAUGAAAGCAGGGGAUCUUCGGACCUUGCGCGAUUUUAUUAGCCGAUGUCGGAUUCGCUAUUUGGCGGGGUAAAGGCCCACCAAGUCGACGAUCCGUAGCUGGUCUGAUAGGAUGAUCAGCCACACUGGAAGUGAGACACGGUCCAGACUCCUACGGGAGGCAGCAGUGGGGAAUAUUGGACAAUGGGCGCAAGCCUGAUACAGCCAUACCGCGUGGGUGAAGAAGGCCUUCGGGUUGGAAAGCCCUUUUGUUGGGAAAGAAAAGCAGCAGGUUAAUACCCCGCGGUUCUGACGGUACCCAAAGAAGAAGCACCGGCUAACUUCGUG
rnacentral:rRNA from 1 species